GAUGAAGAACGUAGCGAAAUGCGAUACUUGGUGUGAAUUGCAGAAUCCCGUGAACCAUCGAGUCUUUGAACGCAAGUUGCGCCCGAAGCCAUUAGGCCGAGGGCACGCCUGCCUGGGCGUCACACGUCGUUGCCCCCCCAUCUACUCCGUCGGGAUUGCGGGGGGCGGAUGAUGGCCUCCCGUGCGCCUCGUCGCGCGGUUGGCAUAAAUGCCAAGUCCUCGGCGACGCACGCCACGACAAUCGGUGGUUGCGAAACCUCGGUUGCCCGUCGUGUGCGGUCGUCGCGCAUCGAGGGCUCGAAAAAAUUGCCGGGCUCCGACUCGGCUUUCAACGCGACCCCAGGUCAGGCGGGGUUACCCGCUGAAUUUAAGCAUAUCAAUAAGCGGAGGA
rnacentral:misc_RNA from 1 species